rnacentral:lncRNA from 1 species
CAUAGGUGUACUGGGAGCACUGGGAGGCCUGGCUGGAGAUGAACCCGGGGUAACUGGGAAUACUGGGAGCACUGGGAAUGGACCCUGGGUAUGCUGGGAGCACUGGGAAUGAGCACUGGGAAUACUGAGAAUGAACACUGGGAAUGAGCACUGGGAGCACUGGGAAUACUGGGAAUGAGCACUGGGAAUACUGGGAAUUAACACUGAGAAUGAACACUGGGAAUGAGCACUGGGAGCACUGGGAAUACUGGGAAUGGACCAUAGGUAUACUGGGAGUACUGGGAGGCCUGGCUGGAGAUGAACCCGGGGUAAACUGGGAAUACUGGGAGCACUGGGAAUGGACCCUGGGUAUGCUGGGAGUACUGGGAAUGAGCACUGGGAGCACUGGGAAUACUGGGAGCACUGGGAGGCGUGGCUGGAGAUGAACCCGGGGUAAACUGGGGAUACUGGGAAUACUGGGAGCACUGGGAAUACUGGGAAUGGACCAUAGGUGUACUGGGAGUACUGGGAAUGAGCACUGGGAAUACUGGGAAUGAACACUGGGUAUGAGCACUGGGAGCACUGGGAAUACUGGGAAUGGACCAUAGGUGUACUGGGAGUACUGAGAGGUGUGGCUGGAGAUGAACCCGGGGUAAACUGGGGAUACUGGGAAUGGACCAUAGUUGUACUGGGAGUACUGGGAAUGAGCACUGGGAAUACUGGGAAUACUGGGAAUGAGCACUGGGAAUGCUGGGAAUGGACCGUAGGUGUACUGGGAGCACUGGGAAUGAACCCUGGGUAUGCUGGGAGUACUGGGAAUGAGCACUGGGGAUACUGGGAGCACUGGGAAUGGACCACAGGUGUACUGGGAGCACUGGGAGCACUGGGAAUUCCAGAGCCGGUUCCACGUUCUGGAAAAUUCCCAUUUUCCCCCCAGGUACGAGGUGGCUCCGCGCUCCGACAGCGAGGAGAGCGGCUCCGAGGAGGAGGAGGAGGAGGAGGAGGAGGAGCAGCCCCAGCCGGCCCAGCCCGCCCUGCCCGUGGAGGAGAAAAAGAAAAUUCCGGACCCCGACAGCGACGACGUCUCGGAGGUGGACGCCCGACACAUCAUCGAGUGAGC